GCGGGGCCCGGAGCGGGAGCCGGCGCGGAGCGGGACGCCGCGUCCCGAGCGGCCGGCGGCCGGGGCUCGCCCCCGCCCCUCCUCCUCUCCGGCGGCGGCGGCGGCGGGCGGAGUGAGCUGCGGAGCCUGGAAUAUGGUCGGGGAAAUGGAAACGAAGGAGAAGCCGAAGCCCACCCCAGAUUACCUGAUGCAGCUGAUGAACGACAAGAAGCUCAUGAGCAGCCUGCCCAACUUCUGCGGGAUCUUCAACCACCUCGAGCGGCUGCUGGACGAAGAAAUUAGCAGAGUACGGAAAGACAUGUACAAUGACACAUUAAAUGGCAGUACAGAGAAAAGGAGUGCAGAAUUGCCUGAUGCUGUGGGACCUAUUGUUCAGUUACAAGAGAAACUUUAUGUGCCUGUAAAAGAAUACCCAGAUUUUAAUUUUGUUGGGAGAAUCCUUGGACCCAGAGGACUUACAGCUAAACAGCUUGAAGCAGAAACUGGAUGUAAAAUAAUGGUCCGAGGAAAAGGCUCAAUGAGAGAUAAAAAGAAGGAGGAACAAAAUAGAGGCAAACCCAAUUGGGAGCAUCUAAAUGAAGAUUUACAUGUACUAAUCACUGUGGAAGAUGCUCAGAACAGAGCAGAAAUAAAACUGAAGAGAGCAGUUGAAGAAGUGAAGAAACUACUGGUACCUGCAGCAGAAGGAGAAGACAGCCUGAAGAAGAUGCAGCUGAUGGAGCUCGCAAUUCUGAAUGGCACCUACAGAGAUGCCAACAUUAAAUCACCAGCCCUUGCCUUUUCUCUUGCAGCAACAGCCCAGGCUGCUCCAAGGAUCAUAACUGGGCCUGCGCCUGUCCUCCCACCAGCUGCCCUGCGUACUCCUACGCCAGCUGGCCCUACCAUAAUGCCUUUGAUCAGACAAAUACAGACCGCUGUCAUGCCAAACGGAACUCCUCACCCAACUGCUGCAAUAGUCCCUCCAGGGCCUGAGGCUGGGUUGAUCUACACACCCUAUGAAUACCCUUACACGUUGGCACCAGCUACAUCAAUCCUUGAGUACCCUAUUGAACCCAGUGGUGUAUUAGGUAUGGCUUUCCCAGCGAAAGGCUAAGAAUUCAAGAUCGGUCUUAACUGAACCCUCAUCAGAUCUGAAUUUAACAAAUGCUUAGUCUCAGCAGCCUCCGGGGAAAAAGCUUAGCCUAGCAGUCAGUGGCUUACUUGCACUUUUUGCACAUAGAUAUAAAGUAAAACCAUGUUAUUAAUUUGGUUUAGUCUGUAAUAUGACAAAGUAAUGGUAAUUUAUAAAGGAGUGUAUAGUAGUGUACUGACUGCUAAGUGUACUAUACUGUUUGCUUUACUAAUCACCUAAUUCAUUGCAGUUCAUACUUAUUGACUCAAAGUUUUAAAACAUGAUCUGUAGGCUUUAAGAAUUGCUUUUAAACCUUUUUAAGUAAUAAACUCUGGAAGUGGUCUUAAGGUUAGCAAAUAAUUGUCAGUAUUAAACAUGGCAUUAUUUAAGUAGUCCUGCUGCAAGAAAGGCACUUCAGUGAAUAUGUGACUAGUAAAGCUCAAAUAUGUUUGGAUUUAAUAGAGUUCAUGAAAUACUGUAACUUGGGGAUUGUAAAUGAAUGGAUAAAAUAGGUUAAGGCCAACAUGUUUGAAAUGAAUGCAAUAUUAAUAGAUGCAUAUAUAUGUGACAUAUUACGGUUAAUUUUAAAACUACUGUGCCUUAACAUGUUUCUUAAAACAAACUUUUGUAGUAAAUGAACAUUUGAAAUUCAUUUUGAUAAACCUGCUGUUAAUGUUUUUUUCCCCUUCUGUAUAUUUUCUAACUUUGUCUUGGUAAUUGCAAUUUAACUAGGUGCGGUGGCUACUAAAGUUCGAAGGCACGAUAUGCGUGUCCAUCCUUACCAAAGGAUUGUGACCGCAGACCGAGCCGCCACCGGCAACUAACCUAUGACCUUCUGACCUCUGAACUCUUCACCCAAUGAUGACCUGACCAUGCCUGCCUGCUGAUCAGUUAACUGGUAAUCGCCUUUGCUUGCCUGUCGUCAGUGCAGCGAGCUGAGGCACUUGUCCGUUCGUCUUACCAUCUAACCAAACAAAAGACAAAGAAAUUGUUGUCCUCCAACUCAGCUUUUUCCCCCCGUUUGGGUGAAAGUGGUUCUAGAACCUGCACUGAAUAGUAGUAAAGCAAUAAGGCCCAAUUCAUCCCACAGCACUGAUCAUCUUUCAAUGUCCCACCCCAAGCGAACGGUAAGAAGGCCUCCUUAAGAAGGGAGACAGAUGGCCCUUAACUACUCAGUGACAGAGGCAGUUACUGUGAGAGACUUCUAGGAACCUUUUCUUCUGAUAGCGAAGUCAAGCUCUCUCUGAAUGUACUGUGUGAUGAUGCAUCAUGCAUGAACCUUCGGUCAGGGAAGUCAUUGGUGAAGUGAUUCAAAAAGUAUUCAAAAUUUGAUAUACUGUUCAGUCACUACAGUGCCCUCAAAGGGCAGAAGUUGCAGCCUUUUUUAUAUUGCCUGCCAAAUUUGAAGUAUUAGAAGUGUGUGCCAUGAGAGAAAAACUUAACAAGGAGUUUUGAAAAGUAAUGCAAAGAACAAAACUGCAACACUAUUUUUAAAAAGACGGAUAUCUGAGUUAAAAUUACAGAACCUUUAUUUUACACCUCCUUAAAGAAAUUUUGAGAACAAGGUACAUGCAUUAUGUGUCACAUUACUGGGCAAACUGUUCAAGUAUUUUUUUUAAACCUCCCUGUAUAGAAAAAAAUCAUUAAGGAUGUAAAAGCCAUGCUUGCCUAUUUGCUGUAUACAUGUAAUGAAAUUGUAGAUAAAAGUGUAGUGCAUUGAAACAAAUGAACAAAAAGUAGAUACUUUUACUAUACAAGGGUGCUGGUGCAGAAAAAAAUAUAUAUAUUUUUGGAAAUGUAGCAUUUUAUACUUUCAAGUGUUAUAAAAAAAAAGAAAAAGAACAAAGAAACCCUUUAUUUCAUUAAAUGAUUUUUUCUGGUGGUUGUCAAGAAACAAAAGACCAAAAGAGCCUUUUUGUCUUUCUUUUUUAUUUUUUAAGUAUUGGAAUAAGUCUAAAGAAAAGAAAGUGCCUUAUUUUCCUUCAUGGUCAUUUAGUCAAGUGUCUUGUAAGAUCAGCUCCUCCCUCAGAAUAAAAGUUAAUGCAUGUUACUCAGUCGCCCAGUAUGUGAAAGAAGAUAGGAGGGGGACAAAUGAGUUGAGGGUUUGAAUUAUAUGAUUUGUGCCACGUUACCUUGAUGCAAAUUUGCCAAAUCUGAUACUGUGAAAAAAAAAAAAUUUGAAUAACUUUUCUAAUAUCUGACUAGUAAGUUUUAAAAGGCAUAUCAUAAUUGAGUACUUUUGGUUGUUACACAAUCUUCAAUGUUAACCCAAAGGAUUCUGAGAUAAAAAUUAUGUGUGAUCUGAACACCAGUUUACAGACAAAAUUAGAGCUUUAUUCAGAGAAGGGAGAUGCAUUGAAAUUUUUUUUUUGUACUAGAGAUAAUAGUAUACCUAGCAAACUUUUUCACAAAAAUGAAUUUUUUUGUGAUUUUUCAUUGUGGAAAACAGUGUUUUUAAAUGACCCAAAUUUAAUCAGACUCGUUUAUAGCUUACCAGAUAACUUGCAUAGUCCAUCUCUGCUGGCUUUAGCAAUCUUCCUCCUCCUUCCCAACAUGUGCCCUUUUUGCCACAUUUUUUAACUUUAAAAGAAUGUGAAAAACUAGCAUCAUUGUGCAUAUAAAUACUGAACUACAUUUCAGUUUAAGCUUCCAAUUUCUCAUGAAGUACAAACAGUUUUAUAGUUGAAACAACUUACAUGUAAAGCCUACAUCUAAACACUUGAGUAAAUCCGUAACUGCUCAGUACCAGACGUGGCAAAUUUCAAGAGACAGUGCACUCCCAGCUCAUCAACUCGUUCCCUCUUCCAUACCUUCACGGCUUCACAGUCAAGGUCAGCAGGAAGCUCAGUUGGCACCUUCACGGUGACCUCUCCAUCAGCUUGUCUCACUUGGAACCGUUUUCAGUUUAUUUACUAUGCAAUAGACAGUCAUUGUUUUGUAUUCAGCUAGCUUUGGUUUAAUGUGCCACUGCUCUUUCUGUUACACAUGCCGUUGUUUUGAUUUAUUUACAAUAUAUGCCUUGCCAUUUUGAUUUUUAUUUUGUUUGGUUGGUUGAAUAAAUUUGCGACACUCAAACACUUGAGGUGAUAGUUAAAAAUGAUACCAGUAUUUGAUCCAGCUUCAUCUCAGCUAUGUUAGACCUGGACAUUUUAGAUGUUUAUCAAAGGUCUUUUAUGGGGAAGUAAGUAAAUGUACGAAACAAUAAAUGUGUGACAUUUUUGAGUAAUGUCUGCUCUGAACAAACUUUUGAAAACUUAGUUGACAAAAUUUUGGAUCAACUGAAAAGCAUGACUUUUGAAAUCUGAAUGCCUUGGUUCUCAGUAUUAUCAUUCUUUAUUGAAUUUAUUUCUUAUUAAAGUAUGUAGUUUUUAAGACUUUUUUCUGACAGUAUUAUGUAAUUUUUAGCGUGGGUAGAUGGGAGUGUCGCUGGUAUGUUACUGUACAGCUGACAUGUAUUUUUUGUCUAUUCUUUAUUAUCUUAGUAGUUUUCAUGCUCUAUAUGUACCAUAACCAACCUAUUGCCUAUGAGAAACAUGUAAGAUAAUGUAUUUACAGCCAUUGUUACAAGUUUAUAAUGUAUUUUUCUAUCUUGUUUUAUAUGUAUGUUAUAUAACAUUCAAAAAGAAUUUUUUUCUUGAUUGAGAAAAGGAUACAAAAUGCAAAAUCCACAAUUUUGAUAACUGAAAAUUGCCAAUUGUUUUGCAGUACUUUAUUAUAUUGGGUGUCUUGUCUUUCUUGGGCUUUUAGUUAGCUGAUGAAUGAAUACAUUGAUUAGACACUUUCGGGUUUUAGUUGGGAUUUUACAUAGCUUGCAUUUUAAUUCUUUGGUUCUUUGCUGUUUCUAUUAACCCAUAGCAUUAUUUUAAUAAAUGUUAUAAUACCAACCUACUAACUCUGGACUAUGUCUGUUUAUUAACCUUUACAUGUUUAAUUAAAAUAAACAAAUAAAGACAAAAGAAUGUAAAGUCUUGAGUUACUGGACUAACCCUGAAGACCGUGACCACAGAUAACACAGUGUGACUUGUUUUAUGUUGUUUGUCAGCUGACAGGUGCGCACACUACUGUUCAAAUGGCUUUGGUUACUCUGGCCUUCUACUUCGGGGGUAGGUGCCAGUGGAGAUGAGAACAAAGAGCAUUCGUGGGAGGCGUUCUGCUCCUAGUCAUGCCACUUGCCUUUCAGCAUCUGCAUUACUAAUUCCACACUUCCUUAUUUUUCCUUCUCCAAAAUAAUCACUGUCUGCUCACAGCAUAAAGAGUAAGGAGAUUGAUUGUGAUGAUACACCCUGAGAAAACAGUUUGAUUCAUUGAACCAUUCAUUUUAAUUUCUACAAGUAAAUGAUUUUAUGGUCACUUUAUAAAGUGAAAAAUCUGAUAUUUUGCCUGUAUUAGAAUGUUUAUUUUAACAUGGUAUUUUUCCUUUGUAAAGCAUUGAACUUGUUUAGCAAACUGUUUGUUUUAGAGGAAUUUGACAUACGUAAGGCUAGGGGCAAAUCGAGUCUGUUUCCCCUAAUAGUGCAGAGUAAGUAAUGAGUAACUAGGUUGCAGCCCCACCUCUUUUCUCACCCAAACUUCAGUGAACUGUGGAGCUGUCUCAGGGGUUUUUCCUCCCCCACUUCCAAAACACAGCCAAGACUAUGACAUUGAUGCAAGAAAUUUAAGGGGGAAGAACACUGAGAUUUAAAAUGCUAGGUGUAAUUAAUUUCUUGCAUGCAAAUCAAUUUGAGAAGAUUUCUUAAAUAUCCUUGUGCUUUUCGUGGGCUGUGUAAGUGGACCUCUGAAUCUGACUUCUUGAGGUGUGUUUGUCACAGAUUGGUAAUUGCCUUUUUUGUGAAACAAUUCUCCUGCAUAAGAAAAAAAUUUCUUAGGAUGAAUUUUGCAUUUGUAAAUAGUGGUUUAUUUUUGUAAAUUAUAUUUUAUUUAUUUAAGAGUUCUAAAAUUUAGGGCUGAAAUGAGUUACAUGUAAUAAAAUUUGUAAUGAUAUCAAUAUGCUCCUAACCGACUUAUCAAAAUAUUCUUGUUUCAUAUAUGUAUGUGCAUAUAUGAAAUCAACAGAAUAGUGAUAAGUAAUUUAAUCACCACUUAAAAGGUCAUUUGGGUUAUGUAAACAGAUAGUCAAUUCUCUGAUGAAAAGAGUAGGCAGUGUAUCAUUGUUAGGUAGGCAGAUCUUUAAUAUGCUACUUAUCUGUUGAAGUUCACAUUGCCGUGACAAGUUAUGUGUAAUUCUGUGAAAAUUUGAAGAUGCCUGUCAAGCUGCUAAUACACAAGUUGUGGUACCAUGUCACUUAAAUUGAAGAAUUUCUAUGCAAUUUGCUAUUCUCUGAAGCCUAUGAAUGCAGUCUCAUCUCAUUUUCAGUUAAGGGUACUUUAUGUAUAAUUAUGUCAUAUUGUCACCUUUUAUGUUGAAAAUGUUGUAAAAGACAGUUUUAAAAGGUGAAAAUAAUAUUGCAAAUCCCAUUUUUAUACAGGUUGCAACAAUAUUAAACAUGAAAAUAUCAA